rnacentral:rRNA from 1 species
UACGUAGGGUGCGAGCGUUAAUCGGAAUUACUGGGCGUAAAGCGUGCGCAGGCGGUUUUGUAAGCCAGAUGUGAAAAGCCCCCGGGCUUAACCUGGGAAUGGCAUUUGGGACUGCAAGGCUCGAGUGCGGCAGAGGAGACUGGAAUUCCUGGUGUAGCAGUGAAAUGCGUAGAUAUCAGGAGGAAUACCGAUGGCGAAGGCAGGUCUCUGGGCUGACACUGAC